AGGCUUUGAUCCUGGCUCAGGAUGAACGCUGGCGGUAUGCUUAACACAUGCAAGUCGAACGGACUCUUCGGAGUUAGUGGCGGACGGGUGAGUAAAGCGUGAGAAUCUGCCUCUAGGUCGGGGACAACAGUUGGAAACGACUGCUAAUCCCGGAUGAGCCGGCGGGUAAAAGAUUAAUUGCCUAGAGAGGAGCUCGCGUCUGAUUAGCUAGUUGGUGAGGUAAAGGCUCACCAAGGCGACGAUCAGUAGCUGUUCUGAGAGGAAGAACAGCCACACUGGGACUGAGACACGGCCCAGACUCCUACGGGAGGCAGCAGUGGGGAAUUUUCCGCAAUGGGCGAAAGCCUGACGGAGCAAUACCGCGUGAGGGAAGAAGGCCUUUGGGUCGUAAACCUCUUUUCUCAGGGAAGAAGUUCUGACGGUACCUGAGGAAAAAGCCUCGGCUACAUCCGUGC
rnacentral:rRNA from 1 species